GUUUGGGUUUGGGCUCGUAGAAUGAAGAUACUGGAAUCCUUUGCAGCCUGUCUUUGCAUCAGCGGGGAUCGACGCCCCUCUGUGGUGUACCUGCUGUGGGUAGCUGCUCCCAUAUCCAACCAGGUAGCUAAGCUUCAUUGGGUUGUCUCCCAAGAUGUAAUUAGCCUGACAUGCAACAGAAUAUAUGUUAGAAACUUACUGCACAACACCUUCCUGGUCAGAUGCUACCAACACAGCAGAGCAGAAAUAGUGUGUAGGUCAUGAGUCAUGACAACCAAAGUUAUCAUAGAAUGUAGUUAAGCCACAAAGGCAAGCAGUGUGUCACAAUGUGCCGAUGGCUCGUGACAAAAAAAGGUAGGCAUGUAAAUACAAGGAAUGUUUUAUGGUGUUUCUUGUUGAACUUCAACAUGGCAAACUGGAAUUUCAGUAUCUUGCAAGGUUUUC
rnacentral:lncRNA from 1 species